UACGUAGGGUGCGAGCGUUGUCCGGAAUUAUUGGGCGUAAAGAGCGUGUAGGCGGCCAGGUAGGUCCGCUGUGAAAACUCGAGGCUCAACCUCGAGAUGUCGGCGGAAACCAUCUGGCUAGAGUCCGGAAGAGGAAAGUGGAAUUCCCGGUGUAGCGGUGAAAUGCGCAGAUAUCGGGAAGAACACCCGUGGCGAAGGCGGCUUUCUGGGACGGCAACUGGACGCUGAAGGCACGAAAGCGUGGGGAGCAAACAGGA
rnacentral:rRNA from 1 species